AUCGGAAUGAGAUGUGUUUUUAGUGUAGGCGAAUUGAGAGUAUGCGAAAUUGGCGUAGACCAACUGGGAGUUUUGCUAUAGACGAAAUGGCAAUUUUGACGUAGA